UGUUGUGACUUUAGUUCGAGACAUGCCUGUUAUUGUAGAGGAGGUGGAAACUAACUUGUGAGCCCUGUGCUUGUGUUUGUCAACAGAGGAUAGAUGCUGCUUAGUCCUUGCCAAUGCUCGUUUUAGCGAUUGAGUACACAGCCAGCAUAGA